rnacentral:rRNA from 1 species
CACGUAGGGGGCAAGCGUUGUCCGGAUUCAUUGGGCGUAAAGAGCUCGUAGGCGGUUCGAUAAGUCGGGUGUGAAACCUCCAGGCUCAACCUGGAGACGCCACCCGAUACUGUCGUGACUAGAGUCCAGUAGGGGAGCGUGGAAUUCCUGGUGUAGCGGUGAAAUGCGCAGAUAUCAGGAGGAACACCAGUGGCGAAGGCGGCGCUCUGGGCUGGAACUGACGUUGAGGAGCGAAAGCGUGGGGAGCGAACAGG